rnacentral:rRNA from 1 species
UAUUGCACAAUGGGGGGAACCCUGAUGCAGCGACGCCGCGUGAGUGAAGAAGUAAUUCGUUAUGUAAAGCUCUAUCAGCAGGGAAGAAUAGAUGACGGUACCUGAGUAAGAAGCCCCGGCUAACUACGUGCCAGCAGACGCGGUAAUACGUAGGGGGCAAGCGUUAUCCGGAUUUACGGGGUGUAAAGGGAGCGUAGACGGCGAUGCAAGCCAGAUGUGAAAGCCCGCGGCUCAACUGCGGUAGUGCAUUUGGAACUGUAUGGCUGGAGUGCAGGAGAGGCAGGCGGAAUUCCUAGUGUAGCGGUGAAAUGCGUAGAUAUUAGGAGGAACACCAGUGGCGAAGGCGGCCUGCUGGACUGUAACUGACGUUGAGGCUCGAAAGCGUGGGGAGCAAACAGGA